CCUACGGGAGGCAGUAGUCGAGAAUCAUUCACAAUGGGGGAAACCCUGAUGGUGCGACGCCGCGUGGGGGAAUGAAGGUCUUCGGAUUGUAAACCCCUGUCAUGUGGGAGCAAAUUAAAAAGAUAGUACCACAAGAGGAAGAGACGGCUAACUCUGUGCCAGCAGCCGCGGUAAUACAGAGGUCUCAAGCGUUGUUCGGAAUCACUGGGCGUAAAGCGUGCGGAGGCUGUUUCGUAAGUCGUGUGUGAAAGGCGCGGGCUCAACCCGCGGACGGCACAUGAUACUGCGAGACUAGAGUAAUGGAGGGGGAACCGGGAUUGUCGGUGUAGCAGUGAAAUGCGUAGGUAUCGAGAGGAACACUCGUGGCGGAGGCGGGUUCCUGGACAUUAACUGACGCUGAGGCACGAAGGCCAGGGGAGCGAAAGAGAUUAGAUACCCUUGUAGUC
rnacentral:rRNA from 1 species